rnacentral:rRNA from 1 species
AACGCUAGCUACAGGCUUAACACAUGCAAGUCGAGGGGCAGCAUUGGAGUAGCAAUACUUCAGAUGGCGACCGGCGCACGGGUGAGUAACACGUAUCCAACCUGCCGCUUACUCGGGGAUAGCCUUUCGAAAGAAAGAUUAAUACCCGAUGGUAUAAAGAGUUCGCAUGUUCUCUUUAUUAAAGAAUUUCGGUAAGCGAUGGGGAUGCGUUCCAUUAGAUAGUUGGCGGGGUAACGGCCCACCAAGUCUACGAUGGAUAGGGGUUCUGAGAGGAAGGUCCCCCACAUUGGAACUGAGACACGGUCCAAACUCCUACGGGAGGCAGCAGUGAGGAAUAUUGGUCAAUGGACGAGAGUCUGAACCAGCCAAGUAGCGUGAAGGAUGACUGCCCUAUGGGUUGUAAACUUCUUUUAUAAGGGAAUAAAGUGAGGGACGUGUCCCUUUUUGUAUGUACCUUAUGAAUAAGCAUCGGCUAACUCCGUGCCAGCAGCCGCGGUAAUACGGAGGAUGCGAGCGUUAUCCGGAUUUAUUGGGUUUAAAGGGAGCGUAGACGGGUCGUUAAGUCAGCUGUGAAAGUUUGAGGCUCAACCUUAAAAUUGCAGUUGAUACUGGCGUCCUUGAGUACGGUUGAGGCAGGCGGAAUUCGUGGUGUAGCGGUGAAAUGCAUAGAUAUCACGAAGAACUCCGAUUG